GUGUCUGGGGGAGGAAGGAAUCCUUACCCUGGCUUCCUUAAUCGGGGAAGGCUUCCUGAAGGAGGUGGGCUCAGAGGUGAGUUGUGAAUGAAGCGGGUAGGGAGUGGGCUGGGUGGAUGGUUUGGGGAUGUUUGGGGGAGGUGAGUAAAGGGGUAGAGGGAGAACGCUCUUUGGGAUUGUGUUGGAAAGAGAAGAACCAAAGUGGACUGUACUUGCAUUUCAGUGAAUGAUUUGAGUUGUGCGACUAAAGGCUUUUUGGAAGAGGGUUGUCCAGUUAGGAAAGGUGGAUGGGAGUUGGGGAGGGGGUUUUCUGUUCUCCCUUUGAGCUGAUUUCCUUCCUCUCCCACGUCCUCAAUUAACUCCUGCAGGUCUCGAAGUGCUGCAGCUAAAACUCAUACAACUGCCUUGACUGGGCGAAGUCCUUCCCCUGCUUCAGGGCGACGCGGGGAGGGAGAUGCGCCUUUCAGUGAACCAGGUACUACCAGCACACAACGGCCUAGUAGCCCGGAGCCUGCUACGAAACAGCCUAGCAGCCCUUAUGAAGACAAAGAUAAAGACAAGAAGGAGGUAUGUUCCUGAGUUGGUGAUGUUCAUUGGAUUGCACAUGUAUAGAUUUAGGAUAGACAUGUGAUGUGAAAGGGAGAGGUAGUAACUUAUUAAAAUAAAUAAAUUCAGUUUUUUUUUUCUGCAUUCCUCUCCUGGUUCUCUUAACUGCAUCUGCAGAACUUUUAGUGUUGUUACUAGACUGAAUUGUGAACCCUUUAGAAUCAAAUCUCACUGGAUGUUAGGUUUUAUAUUGUGUCUUGUUUAUACAUAGAUAGAACUGGAACAAACGUUGUAUCUUAUCUGUGUACUCCGUAUGAUGCCUCUAGUUUCUUCUCUUUUUUCAUUAAAUGUUGGUCAUGUCUCACCAAAA
rnacentral:sRNA from 1 species